rnacentral:rRNA from 1 species
UACCAGCUCUCCGAGUGGUAGGGAUGAUUAUUGGGCUUAAAGCGUCCGUAGCCGGCUUAGCAAGUUUCCUGUUAAACCCAGCGACUCAAUCGUUGGAUCGCGGGAAAUACUACUAGGCUAGGAGGCGGGAAAGGUCAACGGUACUUCUGGGGUAGGGGUGAAAUCCUAUAAUCCCGGGAGGACCACCAGUGGCGAAGGCUGUUGACUAGAACGCGCUCGACGGUGAGGGACGAAAGCUGGGGUAGCAAACCGGAUUAGAUACCCGGGUAGUCCCAGCUGUAAACGAUGCGAGCUAGGUGUUGGGAUGGCUACGGGCCAUUUCAGUGCCGCAGGGAAGCCAUUAAGCUCGCCGCCUGGGGAGUACGGCCGCAAGGCUGAAACUUAAAGGAAUUGGCGGGGGAGCACCACAAGGCGUGAAGCUUGCGGUUC